rnacentral:tRNA from 1 species
GCGCCCAUCGUCUAGCGGUUAGGACGCUGCCCUUUCACGGCGGAAACAGGGGGUCGAUUCCCCUUGGGCGUACCA